UGGGAUAUAGCCAAGCGGUAAGGCAACGGUCUUUGACUCCGUCAUGCUCUGGUUCGAAUCCAGAUAUCCCAGCCA
rnacentral:tRNA from 6 species